UACAGAGGUCUCAAGCGUUUGUUCGGAUUCAUUGGGCGUAAAGGGUGCGUAGGCGGCGCGGUAAGUCGGGUGUGAAAUCUCGGAGCUUAACUCCGAAACUGCAUUCGAUACUGCCGUGCUUGAGGACUGGAGAGGAGACUGGAAUUCACGGUGUAGCAGUGAAAUGCGUAGAUAUCGUGAGGAAGACCAGUGGCGAAGGCGGGUCUCUGGACAGUUCCUGACGCUGAGGCGCGAAGGCCAGGGGAGCAAACGGG
rnacentral:rRNA from 1 species